rnacentral:rRNA from 1 species
CUCGGAAACGGGGGCUAAUACCGAAUAUGACGCACUCUCGCAUGGGAUGUGUGUGGAAAGUUUUUCGGUCUGGGAUGGGCUCGCGGCCUAUCAGCUUGUUGGUGGGGUGAUGGCCUACCAAGGCGACGACGGGUAGCCGGCCUGAGAGGGCGACCGGCCACACUGGGACUGAGACACGGCCCAG